rnacentral:tRNA from 2 species
GCCCUCGUAGCUCAGGGGAUAGAGCACCGCUCUCCUAAAGCGGGUGCCGCAGGUUCGAAUCCUGCCGGGGGCAC